rnacentral:rRNA from 1 species
GACGAACGCUGGCGGCGUGCUUAACACAUGCAAGUCGAACGGAAAGGCCCUGCUUUUGUGGGGUGCUCGAGUGGCGAACGGGUGAGUAACACGUGAGUAACCUGCCCUUGACUUUGGGAUAACUUCAGGAAACUGGGGCUAAUACCGGAUAGGAGCUCCUGCUGCAUGGUGGGGGUUGGAAAGUUUCGGCGGUUGGGGAUGGACUCGCGGCUUAUCAGCUUGUUGGUGGGGUAGUGGCUUACCAAGGCUUUGACGGGUAGCCGGCCUGAGAGGGUGACCGGCCACAUUGGGACUGAGAUACGGCCCAGACUCCUACGGGAGGCAGCAGUGGGGAAUAUUGCACAAUGGGCGGAAGCCUGAUGCAGCAACGCCGCGUGCGGGAUGACAGCCUUCGGGUUGUAAACCGCUUUCGCCUGUGACGAAGCGUGAGUGACGGUAAUGGGUAAAGAAGCACCGGCUAACUAUGUG